rnacentral:misc_RNA from 1 species
UUUGUGAACUUGUGCCGAGCCACCCAGAUGCCGUCUAAAGAUCACCGCCGAGACUUUCGCCAGCCACGUGAUCGGUUCAACCUGAACUUAUUGAAACGAAGUAGAUAGAUGACAACCUUCUUAGAACAAAGGUAUGGCAAGCUUGAUGGUGAACACCUCUAGUAAAAACAGUUCGCGCAGUGGAUCUCCUAGUAGGACAACUUCGACGUCUCAACUGCAGCAACAACAACCGACAGCAAACUUGGAUCAUACUCCAAGAUUGCGUAAUGCCCCAAUUUCUCAAGGAGAGGGUAGUACAGGCAGUGGAAGUAGUGGUGGUGGCGGUACCGGAAGUAGCCUCAACAUGAAAGGCAGCAACAGACAAAGGUCACCAGGAAAUUUAAUCCGCACGGGGGAUGCCAUGGAUGAACCAAGUAAUACUUCAAACACUGCCGAACCAGACGAGUUUGUGCCAAAUGUUCAUCCACCGACUGAUGACGAAGGAGAACAAUAUCACACAACCCAAUCGUUCCUAUCAAAUGGUUCUUCUGAGUUGAUAAGCGAUGAUGUCGACUCUAGUGCAGCACGAGUUCGUCAAGCUAUUGAACAUAUUCAAAGCAAAAUUGCUAAAACACGAGAACAGAUAAGAAUAGAACAAACCACGCGGGAUGAAAACGUCAAUGAAUAUUUGAAAUUGGCUGCUAAUGCAGACAAGCAGCAAUUAACUAGGAUUAAAACGGUAUUCGAAAAGAAGAAUCAAAAAUCGGCGCACAGUAUUUCACAGUUACAAAAAAAGUUAGACAGCUACACAAAAAAAUUAAGAAAUUAUGAAAUGAAUGGUGCACCGACGAGUCAUAGACAACCGAGAGAAAUGUUACGCGACAUGGGACAAGGACUUAAACAUGUAGGAGGAAACAUUAGGGAUGGAAUCACUGGUUUUUCAGGAACUGUAAUGUCUAAACCAAGAGAGUUUGCUCAUCUUAUUAAAAAUAAAUUUGGAAGUGCCGAUAAUAUAAAUACUUUAUCACAUGGCUCGACUUUUUAUGUAAACGAUACACCGCAUGCAGGUAAUGGUGAUAACGCUAGCGUUGAAGAUGAUAAAACUCAUCAUGGAUCGGCUACGCUUCCGGGUGGAUGCAGUUUGGGAUCUACCCAAAGUGCAGCAGCUAUGAAGUUUCCGUCUGAGGAAGGAUCGGAAUGUUCUAGCGUAACUAGUGAAAGCGGCCCUGGUAGUAGAGGACAGCCGCAUACAUGUCACAGUAAUAAUGCAGCCUUGAGUCUCAAAUCUAUUUUUGCAGAACUACAGGAACACCGGGAGAAUCUUGAUCGAAUGAGAGAAAAAUUAGAUAGUGUAAAGACAUUACAGCAGGAAGUGACAUAUCUUUCCCAUUCCCUCCAAGAAGAACGUUUUAGGUGCGAACGUUUAGAAGAGCAGAUUAAUGAUUUAACAGAAUUGCAUCAGAACGAAGUAGAAAACUUAAAGCAAACUAUCACAGAUAUGGAGGAGAAAGUGCAAUAUCAAAGUGAAGAUAGAUUACGAGAUAUACAUGAGAUGUUAGAGAGUUGUCAAACUAAAAUUUGUAAAAUGGAACAUCAACAACAACAGCAUCAACAAUAUGUGACAUUGGAGGGUUUAGAUAAUAGCAAUGCGAGAGCGUUAGUUGUAAAAUUGAUAAAUGUAGUAUUGACAGUAUUGCAAGUUGUUUUGCUCCUUGUUGCAACGGGUGCUGGUAUUAUGAUGCCUUUUCUCAGAACUAGCUGUACUAAGCCUCAUUGUUUCAUGUGCAGGGUGCGUAUAUUAACGACUACAUUCGUUGUACUGGGAAUAGUAUUUGUGUUAAAGCAAUGGCCUGAGGUACAUGACGUUGGCAGCCACCUCAUGCGCCAUCUCAAACAGACGCUCGCCAUGAAGUAGUAUUGGUGGAAUACUUAAAUUUAAUCAAACCUUGUGAUGAAGCUGGGCUAGAUUGGACACAUUGAAUGAAACCUUGCAUCCAUUUAUCAGUGUUGUAACACAUUGGAGCAAUAAUAAUAGCUGCUGUCCGGCAUUGUAUAAAGUAUGAGGUAGUGCGUACUGUAUAUUUACUUGUUAUUUGUAAUAUCCGAUAAAAGUAUAAGUUCUCUAGGAAAUGAAAGCUUUUUUAAUUGUUGUUGCAUUGUAUAAAAUAGCUAGUAUAUAAAUUGAGUCACGCAUGCAAUGAAAGAGAAAUGAAGAAUUUCACUGAAGAAACAUCUCUCGUUGAAAGAUUUUUAAAAAAUCGUGAGUACUAGAUUUGGACAUAAAUAAAAAUGUUACAUACACAUAUACAUGUGCUGCUACAUCCGAUAUCAAAGGAGGACCAACCGUCUCUUCCCUCUUAUCCUACGAUAGGAUUUACAUCGCACAUAUAAUGUUAAAGUUAUAAUAAUGAAGACAAGAAUGAUUUUCAUUAAUUCAAUGAGUGAUUUAAUCAUCAAAAAAUCAUAAAUUUGCAUGUAUAUUAUAACGAGCAUAAAGAAUUGAUCCAUGACAGUUAGCUGAAAUGAGAAAAAGACUGAAGGAUUACAUUGCUGUAUAAUUAUGUUUACUUUGACAUUGGCGCUAUAAUUUUAAGUGUUUAGUACUGGAAAUUAUAACAUUAGAAUAUAAUACAAAUUUAUGGAAAUGAGAAGUACUUGAUAUAUCGCAAAAAUAGGAUGAAUUAAAAUAACAGCAGCAUUCAGAAAUAAGACUUAGCACCUAAUUUGUGUUUCUUCUUUGUAUCGUUACUCUUUGAUAACAGAGCAUAAGUAUGACUUUUAUAUUCAUUAUGUUAUAAUACAAUUUUCUAAUUUUUGCAGUCAGGAUGAUUCAGGUCUGAUAAGCACCAUUAUUAUUCAAAACAAAUGCAGCACGAUAUACGUUAAAUAAUUAACUAUAUAAAUGAAGAUUUUUAUCUUAUUUAAAUCAUUAUGUCGUGCUGCUUUCGUCUUGCACAGAAAUUUUAAUGUUCUUAUUUUACGCUAUAUAUGUGUACAACAAAGUAAUAGUAAUUAGCUUAUAAUUAACAGUUCGGUAUCUGUGUCAGUUUACUGACAUGUAACGUAUAUAACAACGGAA